rnacentral:rRNA from 1 species
GAUGGAUACUAGGUGUUGGCAAUGAAUAAUUGUCGGUGCCGGCGCUAACGCAAUAAGUAUCCCACCUGGGGAGUACGACCGCAAGGUUGAAACUCAAAGGAAUUGACGGGGGCCCGCACAAGCAGUGGAGUAUGUGGUUUAAUUCGAAGAUACGCGAAGAACCUUACCAAGGCUUGACAUAUAGAGGAAUAAGUAGGAAACUAUUUAGCUCUUCGGAGUCUCUAUACAGGUGGUGCAUGGCUGUCGUCAG